rfam:Xenopus laevis strain J chromosome 4L, whole genome shotgun sequence.
UGAAUACAAUGAUGAGUACAUAGUUCAGCAGAGUGUUGGUGAUGAACAAUCUUUCGCUCCUAUCUGAUGUAUCAA